GACGAACGCUGGCGGCGUGCUUAACACAUGCAAGUCGAACGGAAAGGCCCUGCUUUUGUGGGGUGCUCGAGUGGCGAACGGGUGAGUAACACGUGAGUAACCUGCCCUUGACUUUGGGAUAACUUCAGGAAACUGGGGCUAAUACCGGAUAGGAGCUCCUGCUGCAUGGUGGGGGUUGGAAAGUUUCGGCGGUUGGGGAUGGACUCGCGGCUUAUCAGCUUGUUGGUGGGGUAGUGGCUUACCAAGGCUUUGACGGGUAGCCGGCCUGAGAGGGUGAACGGCCACAUGGGGACUGAGAUACGGACCAGACUCCUACGGGAGGCAGCAGUGGGGAAUAUUGCACAAUGGGCGGAAGCCUGAUGCAGCAACGCCGCGUGCGGGAUGACGGCCUUCGGGUUGUAAACCGCUUUCGCCUGUGACGAAGCGUGAGUGACGGUAAUGGGUAAAGAAGCACCGGCUAACUACGUG
rnacentral:rRNA from 1 species